GAUGAAGAACGUAGCGAAAUGCGAUACUUGGUGUGAAUUGCAGAAUCCCGUGAACCAUCGAGUCUUUGAACGCAAGUUGCGCCCGAAGCCAUCAGGUUGAGGGCACGUCUGCCUGGGCGUCACAUAUCGUUGCCCAAUGCCUAUCGCAGUGCAAUAGGAAUUUCUAGGGCGAAUGAUGGCUUCCCGUGAGCGUUGUUGCCUCGCGGUUGGUUGAAAAUCGAGUCCUUGGUAGGGUGUGCCAUGGUAGAUGGUGGUCGAGUUAGAACGAUACCGAUCAUGUGCAUGCUCCCCAAAAUAUGGCCUCUAUGACCCACACGCGUCUUUUGACGCUCAUGACGAGACCUCAGGUCAGGCGGGGCUACCCGCUGAAUUUAAGCAUAUCAAUAAGCGGAGGA
rnacentral:misc_RNA from 1 species